GGGUUCGUGGUCUAGUUGGUUAUGACGCGGCCUUUACAAGGCCGAGACCGGUGGUUCAACUCCGCCCGAACCCA
rnacentral:tRNA from 2 species